rnacentral:rRNA from 1 species
CCUACGGGAGGCUGCAGUGAGGAAUAUUGGUCAAUGGGCGCUAGCCUGAACCAGCCAAGUAGCGUGAAGGAUGACUGCCCUAUGGGUUGUAAACUUCUUUUAUAUGGGAAUAAAGUGCAGUAUGUAUACUGCUUUGCAUGUACCUUAUGAAUAAGGAUCGGCUAACUCCGUGCCAGCAGCCGCGGUAAUACGGAGGAUCCGAGCGUUAUCCGGAUUUAUUGGGGUUAAAGGGAGCGUAGGCGGGUUGUUAAGUCAGUUGUGAAAGUUUGCGGCUCAACCGUAAAAUUGCAGUUGAUACUGGCAGCCUUGAGUACAGUAGAGGUAGGCGGAAUUCGUGGUGUAGCGGUGAAAUGCUUAGAUAUCACGAAGAACCCCGAUUGCGAAGGCAGCCUGCUGGACUGUAACUGACGCUGAUGCUCGAAAGUGUGGGUAUCAAACAGGAUUAGAUACCCUAGUAGUC